CGACGAGUUUGAUCAUGGCUCAGAACGAACGCUGGCGGCAUGCCUAACACAUGCAAGUCGAACGAAGGCUUCGGCCUUAGUGGCGCACGGGUGCGUAACGCGUGGGAAUCUGCCCUUGGGUUCGGAAUAACUCAGAGAAAUUUGAGCUAAUACCGGAUGAUGACGUAAGUCCAAAGAUUUAUCGCCCAAGGAUGAGCCCGCGUAAGAUUAGCUAGUUGGUGGGGUAAAGGCCUACCAAGGCGACGAUCUUUAGCUGGUCUGAGAGGAUGAUCAGCCACACUGGGACUGAGACACGGCCCAGACUCCUACGGGAGGCAGCAGUGGGGAAUAUUGGACAAUGGGCGAAAGCCUGAUCCAGCAAUGCCGCGUGAGUGAUGAAGGCCUUAGGGUUGUAAAGCUCUUUUACCAGGGAUGAUAAUGACAGUACCUGGAGAAUAAGCUCCGGCUAACUCUGUG
rnacentral:rRNA from 1 species